UUUCUCUUCAGUUUUUGUGGUGCAGUGACUGUAAGGCACGGCCACAACUGCUUACCGUUUUCGAGCAUGCUAGACUACGCUGCUUGGCCUCACUGCAACCAAUGCCAGGAGGGAGUCCUCGCCACAACUCUCACCAUGGGGAUCGUGGAGGACCAGGUAAACCCUGCAGACCAGUGAAGCCUCUGUGACCUUUCUGCCCUCUUUCACCGGUCUCACCAGCUUCACCCUUGUCACCACGAGGACCUUGAGGACCCUGAAGAGAAUAUUAAUCUAUUGCAAAUUAAACAAUACUGAUGUUCUGAAGACACUGAUACUUACAGGUUCACCUCUAUUUCCUUGUUUGCCAGUCGGGCCAACAGGACCUGGAGCGCCAGGGGCACCAGGAGCACCAGGGGCACCAGCAGGACCAGUUUGACCUCGGUCACCCUGUUCGGAAGGAGGAGAAAGCCAUUAUCAGCCAAUCACUGAUCUCCAGAGGACUGAAAUCUUUUUCAAUAAAUGAGCUUUCACUACUUCACAUGCAGGUUUAUUGGAGCAUGACAUGCAUUACCACAAUGAAUGGUUGAUGUA